rnacentral:rRNA from 1 species
GAGUUUGAUCCUGGCUCAGGACGAACGCUGGCGGCACGCUUAACACAUGCAAGUCGAACGAGAGAAGAGGAGCUUGCUUUUCUGAUCUAGUGGCGGACGGGUGAGUAACACGUGAGCAAUCUGCCUUUCAGAGGGGGAUACCGAUUGGAAACGAUCGUUAAUACCGCAUAACAUAAUUGAACCGCAUGAUUUGAUUAUCAAAGAUUUAUCGCUGAAAGAUGAGCUCGCGUCUGAUUAGCUAGUUGGUAAGGUAACGGCUUACCAAGGCGACGAUCAGUAGCCGGACUGAGAGGUUGAUCGGCCACAUUGGGACUGAGACACGGCCCAGACUCCUACGGGAGGCAGCAGUGGGGAAUAUUGCACAAUGGAGGAAACUCUGAUGCAGCGAUGCCGCGUGAGGGAAGAAGGUUUUAGGAUUGUAAACCUCUGUCUUCAGGGACGAAAAAAGACGGUACCUGAGGAGGAAGCUCCGGCUAACUACGUGCCAGCAGCCGCGGUAAUACGUAGGGAGCGAGCGUUGUCCGGAAUUACUGGGUGUAAAGGGAGCGUAGGCGGGAUCGCAAGUCAGAUGUGAAAACUAUGGGCUUAACCCAUAAACUGCAUUUGAAACUGUGGUUCUUGAGUGAAGUAGAGGUAAGCGGAAUUCCUAGUGUAGCGGUGAAAUGCGUAGAUAUUAGGAGGAACAUCAGUGGCGAAGGCGGCUUACUGGGCUUUAACUGACGCUGAGGCUCGAAAGCGUGGGGAGCAAACAGGAUUAGAUACCCUGGUAGUCCACGCCGUAAACGAUGAUUACUAGGUGUGGGGGGACUGACCCCUUCCGUGCCGCAGCAAACGCAAUAAGUAAUCCACCUGGGGAGUACGACCGCAAGGUUGAAACUCAAAGGAAUUGACGGGGGCCCGCACAAGCAGUGGAGUAUGUGGAUUAAUUCGAAGCAACGCGAAGAACCUUACCAGGUCUUGACAUCGUAUGCAUAGCUCAGAGAUGAGUGAAAUCUCUUCGGAGACAUAUAGACAGGUGGUGCAUGGUUGUCGUCAGCUCGUGUCGUGAGAUGUUGGGUUAAGUCCCGCAACGAGCGCAACCCUUACUGUUAGUUGCUACGCAAGAGCACUCUAGCAGGACUGCCGUUGACAAAACGGAGGAAGGUGGGGAUGACGUCAAAUCAUCAUGCCCCUUAUGACCUGGGCCUCACACGUACUACAAUGGCUGUCAACAGAGGGAAGCAAAGCCGCGAGGUGGAGCGAACCCCUAAAAGCAGUCUUAGUUCGGAUUGUAGGCUGCAACCCGCCUACAUGAAGUCGGAAUUGCUAGUAAUCGCAGAUCAGCAUGCUGCGGUGAAUACGUUCCCGGGCCUUGUACACACCGCCCGUCACGCC